rnacentral:ncRNA from 2 species
UGCCGUUCCGAGGGGUGCUCCGAGGAGGAGCUGAGAUACCGCUAAAUGGGUCAGAAGGCUCAGGACCGCGGUGACCCUUUGAACCUGAUCCGGGUCAUGCCGGCGAAGGGACAGGGAUGUACCAGACCA